UACGUAGGGUGCUAGCGUUGCUCGGAAUUACUGGGCGUAAAGCGCACGUAGGCGGCUUUCUAAGUCGGGGGUGAAAUCCUGGAGCUCAACUCCAGAACUGCCUUCGAUACUGGAAAGCUCGAGUCCGGGAGAGGUGAGUGGAACUGCGAGUGUAGAGGUGAAAUUCGUAGAUAUUCGGAAGAACACCAGUGGCGAAGGCGGCUCACUGGACGACUGUUGACGCUGAGGUACGAAAGCGUGGGGAGCAAACAGG
rnacentral:rRNA from 1 species